UUUCUACUCCCUCCGUCCGAAAAUACUUGUCAUCAAAAUGGAUAAAAAUAGAUGUAUCUAAAACUAAAAUACGUCUAGAUACAUUUCCUUUUAUCCGUUUUGAUGACAACUAUUUCCGGACGGAGGGAGUAUUUG
rnacentral:pre_miRNA from 1 species